rnacentral:rRNA from 1 species
AUGCUUGUAAGCUGCUUCAGCAAUGCCGUGUAUCUCCUGUUUGUUUUUCUUUUCUAUUCCUACUUGGUUGUAAUGGCGGCCUUGUUGCCAAGCGAUGACCCACCCUUCUGCACGGCCGUCCUUGCCUUUUCCGAGAGCGCCAGCGCCUUCCUCCUCCUCUCCACUCCCUCACCUCCACCGUCCAUGAUGCUCCUGACUGUCACCUCCACCACCUCUCUCCCCACCACGAUCUCCUUCUUCGACACCCACAUCAACGGCUCCUUGAUCCCGACGCUCACACCAAUUCCGAGCACCUCCACGGCCAGCUUCUCGUUCAAGAACUGGUCCGAGAAGUGCGGCCAUGUCACCACCGGCAGCCCGGCCGCGAUCGCCUCCAUCGUCGAGUUCCACCCGCAGUGCGUCACGAAGCCGCCCACGGCGGCGUGGUUCAGGAUAAGCACCUGCGGCGACCACCCUCUGACCAGCAUCCCGCGACCGGCGACGCGCUCCUCGAGGGCCUGCAGGAACUCGCGCACGUCCUCGCUGUAUUGGUCGGGGUUCUUCAGAACCCAGACGAACGGGUGCCCCGACGCCUCGAGUCCGAGCCCGAGCUCGACGACCUGCUUCGGGUCGGCGUGCACGAUGCUCCCAAAGCUGACGUAG